AGACACCGGAGCUAUACCUGAAAUUAACUCGAUACCAAAUUCUACCUCUCCAUUAGGAGACAAUACCGGUAGUUCCUCUGGAAAAACAUCUGGAAAGUCCCUUACAGUUCGAAUGCCUUUAACCGAAGAGUCCACAGAAUUAGCAACACUGAUGUUAGCCAAGAAUGCCUCACACCCCUUCCUUACUAACUUCUCUACCCUCA
rnacentral:lncRNA from 1 species